CAGGGGGGUUCCUGCUUCUGCUAAGUAACAGGUCCUCCAAGAUGCAGACACCAAAACAGAAUAUGACGUGCAAGAAAUGUACUGGGGGACAUGCCUAUGGAAGAUAAAGGAGGAAGAAGCACAAGUCUGAAAAGAGAGCGGAAGGAAGAGUGACAGACCACAGGGCAGGUGGUGGAAAGUCUCCACCAGGCCAACAGGUAGCCUCCCGAGCCAAGGCUGCCCGUUGGAGGAGUCCCACCCGGAGCAGGAAGGGACCGGCUCCAGCACGGAGCCAACAGCCCAGGGAGCCUGAGGCUGCAGAGGGAGCCUGGUGACCUCUCCCAAGGGCCCCUAUGCCUCGGCCAAGUCUUCUCUGUCUGUAAGACCACUGUGGCGUCCUCAUGAAGAUUCAUUAACGUCUUAUUGAUGAAGCCUGAUUUGCCUCCUACCCUUCAAGCAAGAGGGAUCACUCCCCAUUUGUCACUGUGGUGACACUUGAUGGAUGGGCCCCACAGAGCCCUGCAGUGCGUGCUGGUCACCCACGGCCCCCUCCGUUCUGACUGCUCAUUACCCAUGCUCUUGGGACUCUUGUUUUCUGAGUGCUAUUUUUUUCACAAGUCAUUUCCCUUGAGGGGCAGGGGCCUCAUCUUUUUUCUGUAUCCCCAGCACUUAGCCCGGUGCCUGGCAUGGAAUGAGGCUCCAUCAAUGUCUGACGAAUGAAUGACCCUCAGAUAGAAUAACCAAACGUAAGCUCCAAAAACGGCUCAAUCUGCCCUCCAUCCAUCCCCAGUGUCUAUUUCUGGACCCCCCCUCCACGCCUCCAGCAAAAAUACAUCCACUUUGA